rnacentral:rRNA from 1 species
AGUGAACGCUGGCAGUAGGCCUAACACAUGCAAGUCGAACGGCAGCACAGUAAGAGCUUGCUCUUACGGGUGGCGAGUGGCGGACGGGUGAGGAAUACAUCGGAAUCUACUUUUUCGUGGGGGAUAACGUAGGGAAACUUACGCUAAUACCGCAUACGACCUACGGGUGAAAGCAGGGGAUCUUCGGACCUUGCGCGAUUGAAUGAGCCGAUGUCGGAUUAGCUAGUUGGCGGGGUAAAGGCCCACCAAGGCGACGAUCCGUAGCUGGUCUGAGAGGAUGAUCAGCCACACUGGAACUGAGACACGGUCCAGACUCCUACGGGAGGCAGCAGUGGGGAAUAUUGGACAAUGGGCGCAAGCCUGAUCCAGCCAUACCGCGUGGGUGAAGAAGGCCUUCGGGUUGUAAAGCCCUUUUGUUGGGAAGGAAAAGCAGCAGGUUAAUACCCCGCUGUUCUGACGGUACCCAAAGAAUAAGCACCGGCUAACUUCGUG